AAUGCCUUUAGUUUUCUGUGAGGGGUAGGUUUAGGUGUAGGGUUGGUGUAGGGUGAUAGAAAAUACAUUUUUUACAGUAUAAAAAACAUUAUGCCUAUAGAGAGUUCCUGUAAACCACAUAUGCAAGUGUGUGUGUUAGAGUGUGUGUAAAAUUUCCCUGUAAAUUUAUAUGGGUCUAUGAUUAUCCUGCAGAAACUAUUUCACCCAUGAAGGAGUACAUGGACAACAGAUCAACAGAGCUGGAGGGUAUGUGCUUUUACUAACAUUACAAUCAAAUGAUUUACCAAUAUACUAUUUCCCAAACUUUAUACUUUGUAAAAAAUAUUAAGUGACUCAAAGUGAACAAGUUUUUGCUCGUAUUUACAAGCCAAAAGUAUGAUUUUGUAUUUUAAACUACUGUAAAAUUGCCAGACUCUCUCUGUUAUCAUUCAGAAUGUCAGGAAAAAGCAGAACUGAUCGCUGACCGUGUUUCAGCUGUUCAUGAGGAUGGUGUGAUUAAAGGUAAGAGACCUAACAAAUAUAUUUCUACCAAUCAUAAUACUGUAAUAGAAAUCAGUCAUUUUACUUAUGUACAGUACAUCACAGGAUUAUGAUAAUGUUUGUGAAUUUUUUUUUUUAUCACAAAUGACACAAUUUUUCUCUUAAAGAUGAAGACGCACCAGCAUCAGAAGCCAAUGGCCUGACAUCAUUCAAAGUUCAUCGGUUGAGGAGCAGCAGUACACAAUGCUGUAGCGUGACAGUGGUGAGAAAAGCUACUAUUGACCUGUUUAUCCCACAAAGCAUCUUCAUUUUGGGUCUAAAUAUUGUAGUGCUUGUGUUCUUUCUAAUGCUAAAUACUAAGCACAUCUGAUCUAUUAUUAAUAUCAAUAUGUCAUCAGUGUGUCUCUAUGACCACCGAUACUGUUUCAGUGUCACACCUUUUCAGUGCAUGUUGUCUCAUAAUAUGAGACAUUUAGAAUGAUACGAAACAUAAGAAAAAAAAAAAAAAAAGAUUCACAUGAUAAAAAAAUAUGUUGCGUCUAGAUAUUCUUAGUGAACUUACAGUGAAGCCUGGUGGGGGAGAAGAGUGAAA
rnacentral:lncRNA from 12 species